rnacentral:rRNA from 1 species
GGUAACUUAGUCUUAUAUUCAUUAUUAAUGGAUCAAGAAUCUAUUCAUCUAUAUUACUCUUUAAGAAGAGUUUAUCUUAUCUCCCCGUCACCCCAACCAAACAAUUUUAAGUCAAACUCUACUCCCCCCUCUAAAUAAAUUUAUCCCUUAUAAUUGUCAAACUCUAUAGGGUCUUCUCGUCCUCCAACUUUAUUUCAGCCUUUUGACUGAAAAGUUAAAUUAUAACCCAAUCCUUAUGAGACAGUAAACACCUCGUCCAACCAUUCAUACCAGCCUCUAAUUAAGAGACUAAUGAUUAUGCUACCUUUGCACGGUCAAAAUACCGCGGCCCUUCAAUAUUUCAGCGGGCAGGCUAGACCUCUUACAAUUACAAGAAGCGAUGUUUUUGAUAAACAGGCGAGCGUUAAUUUGCCGAAUUCCUUAUAAAGACCUCUCUCACUUAAUUACUCCUACAAUUCUAUUAUAUUAAUUUCAUCAUUAUUACUCAUUGCUUCCCGUUAUCAAUGACACUUUGAUAUAUAAACUAAACCUUACAAAAUUAACUCUCCUGUAAGUAAACUAUAACGCUAUUAUGCGAUGGCUGAUUUCAAGCCUACCUCCUAAAUCAAUUAACCAAUUAUAAAAAUAUCCCUAAGCUUAUCCCUCAAGAUAUUAACAACUAACACAUAAGUCAAUUCCUAUUAAUCAAAAUAACAUUAUUGCCUGAAUUAAAUUCAUUUCUCAAAGAACUAGAAACCUUUAAAUUCGUCUAACAUUUCAUUUCUAAAAGAAUAUUCACAAUAAAUUUACAACUUUAACUAAACUAUUCCCUUAGCCCAUUUAAAAUCGAGAAAACAAAAUCUUUCACUUCAUUUAAUAAACCCUGAUACACAAGGUACAAUACUCAUUCUACUUUUCAUUAAAUUAAUUUUCACUUAUUUCACCUUUCCUCCUCAGUACUACCUCUAUUAUUCAAUUUAUAAUUUCCAUACCCGAUACUCCCACUGUAUUCCUUGAUAUUGAUUUACCUAUUCAAUUCAAUCCACUAAUUCUAUUAAUUAGGUUUCCUCUCAAAAUAAAUUGAAUUGCACAAUAACGUCUCAAUGUAAAUGAAAUGCUUUACUCAUCAAGCUCUA